GUGGAUUGAAGAGACCCCCGCUGGGGCUGCUGUAUGGACAGAGAUCAAUAAUGCAGUCACAGCAAUCCUGGCAGAGGGUUUUGGCAUUUUUGAAAUGCUUUCACACACAUUAUCUCAUUUGAUCUGCACAACUCCCCAGAGAGGAAGAGAGGACAGCAGGAAAGAGCUGAUGUCUACUGGAUGCCUGAAGCAACAGCUUAAUCUCAAUCUCCCCUGCUGGGAGCAGCAGAGGUCCUGCAGGAGUCAAAGGGGAGAGGACAAUAUGAAAAGAAACUUCUGGCCUCAUACAGUGGAAUUCAACCAUUGGAUGAGUGCUGGGGCAGUGACUGCUCCUGAAACCUGUUUUCAGUUAUGAAGGGACCCCACGUUGAUGUUCCCAGGUCAUCUUUACAUACGGAGGACAGUGUCAUCAAAUGGUAUGACAUAUGACAUAGAAUCAGAUUUGGCAAAGCCUGACUGCCCAAGACCUUCUUCACUGCACCAGGUCAACAGCUGUGUACACAAGGAAGCAGGAAGGUAGCUCAGCAUUAUCCACAGGUGCCGGAUCUGAGACCAGCCUCUACCUCUCUGCCUAAACUCUUGUAUGACUCUGAGUAGGUAAGAAGCCACUGGAACCUCAUGCUGUAAAACAGAAUUUUGGUUUUCGGCAAACACCAUGGAAUGCGUCUUC